UCCGUGCUCCUGAGCCGUUUUUGAUAAUGGAGUUUUCGAAUUGUCGAUCGGCUCCGUUAAACUUAAUCUAGCGUAUUUGAAGUUUCUAGAAAAUAAUUUUUACGAUUUUUCGAUAUCAUUUACCUAGCAAUCGAAAAGAUUCAAAAUCAAUAAUUUUUAACGAUUGAAAAUAAAAAUUUUAUAAAAAGUUGUGAUAUAGCACUAAAAUUUUUGAUCAGAAAUAUUGAUCUUAUUGUGGAUAGUAUAAAAAAUUUUAUAUCAAAAUUCCAUCUGAUUUGAAUACUUCUACACCGUUAAACUUGAAAACGGCAGAUAUCAAUCAUUAAAAAUUAUGAAUUUUGAAUCCUUUCGAUCGGGUUUUUUAUCCAACUAAUCUCCUCCAACAAUUUUUUUCUAAAAAUAGUCCUCUGAAAUUUGUAUUUACGAAAAUAGACUCCAAACUGCCACGUGGGCAGUGAGCUGGCGGGAGGGGUUAAAAGCGGUGAACUAUUUACCGCUUUCAUGUGAAAGCGGUAAAUGGUUUACCGCUUUUAGGAGGAUUUAAUAAUACUAUGAAGGCGGUGAACCAUUCACCGCCUUCAUUGUGUUUCCCCGCUGGGAAAGCGGUAGCUAUACACCGCCUUCAUAUGCGGUAAAUAGUUUACCGGCUUUAUAUGCGGUGAACAGUUUACCGCAUUUAAAUGCGGUAAACGGUUUACCGCAUUCAAGCGAAACACUCCCCCCCCCACAGCAACUAUGCAAAAUUUUCACACAAUACAAAAAAGCAAUGUUUUCAAGCAUUUCAAUUACAGAAAUAAAUACAUAAAAUCAUCUACACCAACUUCAACUACACUUUAAACAUACAAAAUAAGCUAUACCAAUAUCAACACAUUUUAAUAUGAAUAAAUUUAGAUAAUACUAUAAAAAUUCAA
rnacentral:lncRNA from 1 species